CUUUUCUUUUUUCUGUAGGUUAUUGUAGCUGCAGAUCAAGAGGUGGAAGAGAUAAUCAAAACUACAGAGAACCGUGAGUCCGUGGAUCUGGAAGCAAGUUCGGGUCAGAUAGGCGACAAUGUGGUUCUGCGAAAGCUGCUUGUGAGUUGAUAUAUUUGAUCUGAAAUGUGAUUGAUUGAUUUUCAAAAUACUGUAAGCUGAGGAAUGCUUAGUUGGGUAUAUCACUUCAUGUUUCUUUUCUAUCAGCGGGGUCCAAGAUAUUUUGACCCUCCAGAUAGUAGUUGGGGAGCAUGCUAUAAUUGUGGCGAGGAAGGUCAUGCUGCUGUAAACUGUACAGAAGCGAAGCGGAUGAAACCGUGCUAUGUAUGUGGUGGUUUGGGACACGUUGCAAAGCAAUGUACUAAGACGAAUUGCUAUAUCUGUAAGAAAGGUGGCCACCGUGCCAAAGAUUGUCCAGAGAAGCACAUGUCGGCACGUGUUCCUAAAAGCUUAACGGUGUGCUUGAAGUGUGGGAAUUCUGGGCAUGAUAUGUUUUCAUGCAGGAAUGAUUAUUCACCGGAUGAUCUCAAGGAGAUUCAAUGUUAUCUCUGCAAGACAUUUGGCCAUUUGUGCUGUGUCAAUACUGCUGAUGCAAUACUGGGAGAAAUUUCUUGUUACAAAUGUGGUCAGAUGGGUCAUACUGGUUUGUUCACAAUUAGAUAUUCCCUAAAAUGAAUGGAUGCUGCAUCAUAACUAGCAAGUAGCAAAUGCAUGUACAUCUUGUAAGGAAGGACAUGGUAAACAUGGGAAUGAGAACUGAAUUGGGACCCGUGAAGAUGGUGAAUGGACAAAUUAUCCGGAUAUGAAGCAAUUAGUUGAUACAUCAAUAAAAGUGUUCCGAUCUCAAAGACAAGCUCGAGUACCACGUACUAAAUCCAGCAACAUUACGUGGAUAAAAGUGCAGUGUCCUCUACAGCGCAACG